rnacentral:rRNA from 1 species
UUGGCGGCGAGCUUACCAUGCAAGUCGAACGAUGAACCGGUUUCGGCCGGGGAUUAGUGGCGAACGGGUGAGUAACACGUGGGCAAUCUGCCCUGCACUCUGGGAUAAGCCCGGGAAACUGGGUCUAAUACCGGAUACGACACAUGAGCGCAUGCUCGUGUGUGGAAAGUUCCGGCGGUGCAGGAUGAGCCCGCGGCCUAUCAGUUUGUUGGUGGGGUAGUGGCCUACCAAGACGACGACGGGUAGCCGGCCUGAGAGGGUGACCGGCCACACUGGGACUGAGACACGGCCCAGACUCCUACGGGAGGCAGCAGUGGGGAAUAUUGCACAAUGGGCGAAAGCCUGAUGCAGCGACGCCGCGUGAGGGAUGACGGCCUUCGGGUUGUAAACCUCUUUCAGCAGGGAAGAAGCGAAAGUGACGGUACCUGCAGAAGAAGCACCGGCUAACUACGUGCCAGCAGCCGCGGUAAUACGUAGGGUGCAAGCGUUGUCCGGAAUUAUUGGGCGUAAAGAGCUCGUAGGCGGCCUGUCGCGUCGAUUGUGAAAGCCCAGGGCUUAACCCUGGGUCUGCAGUCGAUACGGGCAGGCUAGAGUUCGGUAGGGGAGAUCGGAAUUCCUGGUGUAGCGGUGAAAUGCGCAGAUAUCAGGAGGAACACCGGUGGCGAAGGCGGAUCUCUGGGCCGAUACUGACGCUGAGACGAAGACUGGGGGGGAAAAAAAAAAAAAAAGAA